rnacentral:rRNA from 1 species
GAGCGAACAGACGAGGAGCUUGCUCCUCUGACGUUAGCGGCGGACGGGUGAGUAACACGUGGAUAACCUACCUAUAAGACUGGGAUAACUUCGGGAAACCGGAGCUAAUACCGGAUAAUAUAUUGAACCGCAUGGUUCAAUAGUGAAAGACGGUUUUGCUGUCACUUAUAGAUGGAUCCGCGCCGCAUUAGCUAGUUGGUAAGGUAACGGCUUACCAAGGCAACGAUGCGUAGCCGACCUGAGAGGGUGAUCGGCCACACUGGAACUGAGACACGGUCCAGACUCCUACGGGAGGCAGCAGUAGGGAAUCUUCCGCAAUGGGCGAAAGCCUGACGGAGCAACGCCGCGUGAGUGAUGAAGGUCUUCGGAUCGUAAAACUCUGUUAUUAGGGAAGAACAAAUGUGUAAGUAACUAUGCACGUCUUGACGGUACCUAAUCAGAAAGCCACGGCUAACUACGUGCCAGCAGCCGCGGUAAUACGUAGGUGGCAAGCGUUAUCCGGAAUUAUUGGGCGUAAAGCGCGCGUAGGCGGUUUUUUAAGUCUGAUGUGAAAGCCCACGGCUCAACCGUGGAGGGUCAUUGGAAACUGGAAAACUUGAGUGCAGAAGAGGAAAGUGGAAUUCCAUGUGUAGCGGUGAAAUGCGCAGAGAUAUGGAGGAACACCAGUGGCGAAGGCGACUUUCUGGUCUGUAACUGACGCUGAUGUGCGAAAGCGUGGGGAUCGAAACAGGAUUAG